AACGAACGCUGGCGGCAUGCCUAACACAUGCAAGUCGAACGAGACCUUCGGGUCUAGUGGCGCACGGGUGCGUAACGCGUGGGAAUCUACCCUCAGGUUCGGAAUAACUCAGAGAAAUUUGAGCUAAUACCGGAUGAUGACGUAAGUCCAAAGAUUUAUCGCCUGAGGAUGAGCCCGCGUAGGAUUAGGUAGUUGGUGAGGUAAAGGCUCACCAAGCCGACGAUCCUUAGCUGGUCUGAGAGGAUGAUCAGCCACACUGGGACUGAGACACGGCACAGACUACUACGGGAGGCAGCAGUGGGGAAUAUUGGACAAUGGGCGAAAGCCUGAUCCAGCAAUGCCGCGUGAGUGAUGAAGGCCUUAGGGUUGUAAAGCUCUUUUACCCGGGAUGAUAAUGACAGUACCGGGAGAAUAAGCUCCGGCUAACUACGUG
rnacentral:rRNA from 1 species